UACGUAGGGUGCGAGCGUUAAUCGGAAUUACUGGGCGUAAAGCGUGCGCAGGCGGCUUUGCAAGACAGAUGUGAAAUCCCCGGGCUCAACCUGGGAACUGCAUUUGUGACUGCAAGGCUAGAGUACGGCAGAGGGGGAUUGAAUUCCGCGUGUAGCAGUGAAAUGCGUAGAUAUGCGGAGGAACACCAAUGGCGAAGGCAAUCCCCUGGGCCUGUACUGACGCUCAUGCACGAAAGCGUGGGGAGCAAACAGG
rnacentral:rRNA from 1 species